GUUUCUACUUCAUAACUGUCAUUUCGCUACUGUUACUGUUAUGCUGCUGUUAUGUUUUCGUUUCUACUUCAUAACUGUCAUUUCGCUACUGUUACUGUUAUGCUGCUUAAGCGGCUGAGGGGCAAAAGAAAAGGUCCUGAGGCUGUUAGGAAUGGUGGGAGUUGUAGUCCAAAACACAUGGACGGAAAGCCCAAGUUGGCCCAUGCCUGGUGUAGAUGCACCUUUCCAGUCUCCAUCAAUCAGAAACCAAUCUCAAGACAUCGCUCCCGACUAUUGUUGUCAUCGUCAUCAUCCUAAAAGCGAUUAGCGUGAUUUUAUUACUCCUGAUUGGGCCAUAUUUCGAAAUCAAGCAAAAAGGAAAAAAACAAACCUUCUGCCAUUUCAUUUAGAGGCUUUUAAAAUUAAUGGACUAUCUUGUGUUUUUUUUAAGUGCUGUGGGGAAAUGUCAACCGCUUGCUUCCGCCUGGCAGCCUGUAAUUCAAUCUCCAGCCCUCUGCCAUCGCGUAUUUAUUGUAUUUUAUGUGUUUUAUUUAUGCGCGUACCACCCCGGAACUCAAUCUUCAUCUUGCCAGAGAGUAUUGGCUUACAUGAUUGUAUCGAGUUCUACGCUGUGAUCUUUAAGGGAGAGGAAAAGUGGAUCUACACUGCAGAUUUGAUGCAGUUUGGCACCACUUUCCCUGCCAUGGCUCCGUGCUACGGGAUAAUGGGAUUCGGAGUUCCCAGGCCUCACACCAAACUACAAAUCCCACAAAUUCAUAACAUGGUUGCCAUGGCAGUUAAAGCAGGGUCAAGCUAUGUCCAUUUGACAGUGUGGAUGCAACCAAAGAGGACUCCUGGGCAUGUCAAGAGUGCAUGUCUUUAAAGCACUCUGGGUCCCGUGUCCUACAACAAGGAAGGCUGGAGGCAGUUCCUAUUUCAGAGACAUGAAACAAGGCCUUGAUUCCUAUCCGAUUUGAUAUCAAUAUGGCCAAUAGCCCAUUAAAAUCUAUUGCACUAUAUCGCCCCCUAGUGGUUAUUCUGGUGACAACAGGCUCCAAUUAGUCCUGACGCAAAGGACCAUUACAAGUCCAUAUUACAAAAUGCUACACAUUGCCCCCUGUAGGUGACCCUGAGAAUUGCAAAAAAAGCUGUCCAAUUGAGACUCAAUGGAACAGCUCCCCCUGUAGGCAACCCCUGGAACUACAGUCUACAAAAUAUGGCUGAUCCUCGUAAUCGAUUUCGCAUGGUCUCAGCAUUUUCUGCUCCCAUCCUUGCACUUGCCUAGGAAAAAUCACCAACGUGCAAAGAGACCUUAUCAUUUCACGAUUAUUAACAGCAUUAAGAAUGAUACCCCUGCAUUUGACCUAUGAGAAUUACAGUCUGCAUUCAUCAUCACCCAAAAUAAGGUAGGUCCUAGAUUUUGCAAGAUCCCAAUAUGACUUGCCCCCAUUUGCACACUCAUUUGAAGAAAAAGCCAACAUGGAACAAACCCUAUUAUUUCAAUAUAGUUCACUAUUAUUAUCACCAGAAGUAUGCCCCCUGUUGUUGACCCCAAGACAUUACAAUUGGCAAGCAAUAUUUAGAGAAGUCACACUCGUAAACCACCAUUGGAAAGAACCAAGGAACCAAGAUGGCUCAGGCAAAGUCCCAUUUCUGCCCCUUCCUUCAAAUAGCAUUCACUAUGAUUGUCAACCGCAACUGAACAAUGCCCCCUGCUGUUGACCCCUGGAACUGCAAUCUGGGUUAAGCACCACCACCCAGAACAUGGUUGAUCCCAGAUAUUUCACGCUCUCAACAUCACCUCAUCCCAUUCUUGCACCCACCUGGAGAAAUCACCAACAUGUAGACCCAUCGUUUCAAUAGGGUUCACUAUUACUAUUGAUCUUGAGAACAAUGCCCCCUGCUGGUGACCCUGAGGCAUUGCAAUCGACAGGCAGUUUUAGAGAAACCACACUCAAACACCGCCAUUGGGAAGAACCAAGGAAAACACCGGGCCCAAGCAACGUCCCAUUCCCAUGAAAGAAUAGGGUUCACUAUUGGUAUUGACUUUAAGAACAAUGCCCCCUGCUGUUGAACCCAAUGCAUUGCAGAGGCUUAUUUGAGAAGCCACGCUUGGAGGAACCAAAGCCACACUUAGUGAAGAAACCAACAAAACAGAGGCCCAUGUAGUGUGUCCCAUUACCCUGCCAAAAAUAGCUUUAUUGCUAUCAACCUCAAGAACGAUGCCCCCUGCUGUUGACCCCGAGGCACUGCAAUUUUAAGAAGCCACAUUCGAACAUCACCAUCAGCAAGAACCAAGGAAUAUAGAGGAUUCAUGAAGCAUCCCAUUUCCCCAAACAAAAGGGGUUCAUUAUGGCUUUCGACCUCAAGAACAAUGCCCCCUGCUGCUGACACCCAGGCAUUGCAGAUGAUGUUAGAGAAGACACACUCAAACAUCACCAUAUAGAGGACUCAUGAAGCAUCUGUCAUGAUCUCCAGUCUUUGACAUCUCUGGUCGGCUGACAAAGAACAGAUGCCAGCCAUAAAACGGGCCAGCCAUAAAACCUCAAUUACCCUCUGGUAUGUGAGAGCCCCUAUAUAAAUGGGCCAAAGAGAAGGUUCUGGUAUUCUGUACAAUAAAACCUGUUGGAAUCUA